UACAGGGCUCAAUUUCACAACCUUGAGAUCAUGAGCCAAAAUCAAGUCAGAUGCUCAACCCACUGAGCCACCCAGGCACCCCACAGAUGUUACUAUUUUAGAUAGGUAGACCGUGAAGGACUCCUUGAUAUGACACGGUGACAGAUCAGAGAUUUGAAGAAAGUGAAGAAGCCAAAGUAUUGGGGAAGAGUUUUGGCAGUAAAGGGUACAGCAAAUAUAAAGGUUCUGAGGUAGAAAUAUGCUCGAUGUGUAUGGGAACAGCAAGCAAGCCAAUUUGACUGAAGCAAACUGAAUGAAGGGAGCUAUAAAUGCAGAGAUGAGGUGGUAGGACAGCUGCAGGGGUGGCACGAGUCAUGGAGGGCUUUGUAGGUCAUUAUAAGGUCUGGACUUCACCUUAAGACUGAAGUCUUUUUUAAGACCCACAGUGCUUUGAGCAGUGGCUUUAAAAACAUCUGAUUAAUGUUUUUAAAAGAUUAUUCUGGGUCCUAUGUGGAGCAUAUCCUAUAGUGGAGCUAGGAUGAAAGUAGGAAGACCAGAAGGGAAGAUACUACAGUAAGUCCAGGAAGUAUGCCUGGGUAAAGACCAGAGAGAAAGAGAAUAUGGAUGAAUAUGAAUGAAUGCUGGUGCCUAGAGAUUUAUUGAGGUAUAACCAAUAUAAAAAAAGAACGACACAUAUUUAACUUGUCCAAUUUGAUGAGUUUGGACAUAUGCAAACACCUGUGACACCAUCACCCCAAUCAAGAAUGAAAACUAAUUGAUCUGCAUCUCCUGAGUAAUCACUGGUAGUAAAUAUCUUAACAUGUAUGCAAGAAAAACUCUUUGAAAACCAACCAACCAGCCUUAGGACUCUUCUACGGUCCAAAAUUUAAAAAAAAAAAAAAAAAAAAAAAAAAUGAAUCCCUCCAAAAACAUGUCUUUCGUGCAUGUACUUGGAGCUGUUUGCCAGGCUGCAGACUUAGCCCAACGCACUCUAUGAAACUACCGCCACUUCCAGGCACUGACAGGCCGGUUUGUUCAAAUAAAUAAAUAAAUAAAUAAAUAAAGCAACAGUUGGGCAAAUGUCAAAUGCCACGCGAGAAAGAAGGUGACAGUCAACAGAAGCCCGUUAACAUAAUCUGCCGGCAUACAACGGUGCCUGAGGGGUACGAAAAAGUGGACUUUUCUUCGGUUUUCAUCUUCAUCCCAAUGGAUACAACAGAACCGCGAUACCUAAGCUGGCAGGCAGCGGAGCAGCGACCGAGGCAGCACCCCCCUCCCCCGUGCAGGGAGCACCACUGCGUUCCAGGUCACGACGGCCGGGUGGUCUCCGGGGCUAGACCGCGGUCACCACUGCAGGCUCAGCACCCGGCGCAGGCGCUCAGAGCGGACCUGCCGCAGAUGCACACGGCUAGGGGGUGAAGCCGGAAGGGACGAGGACGUCGGAGGGGACCCCCGAGUCCACAGGGGCCUCCUUCGCCCGCCCCUCAGGCGCCUGCGGCGUCCCCCCGACUUCUCCCGGGAGCUCCCCAAGGCGGCGGGAGC